GCCAGGCAUGGUGUCGCGUGCCUGUAAUCCCAACUACUCUGGAGGCUGAGGCAGGAGGAUGGAAAGUUUGAGGCCCACCUAGGCAAUUUAGAGAGACCUUGUCUCAA
rnacentral:sRNA from 1 species